ACGAACGCUUGCGGCGUGCCUAAGAAAUGCAAGUCGAACGGGGAGAUUUCGGUCUCCUAGUGGCGAACGGUCGCGUAACACGUAAGCAACCUGCCCUGAAGUGGGGGACAACGAUCCGAAAGGGUCGCUAAUACCGCAUGUGGCCAGUUGGAGGCAUCUCCGAUUGUCUAAAGCUUAAUGCGCUUCAGGAUGGGCUUGCGGCCUAUCAGCUAGUUGGUGAGGGUAACGGCUUACCAAGGCUUCGACGGGUAGCUGGUCUGAGAGGACGAUCAGCCGGAUUGGGACUGAGAUACGGCCCAGACUCCUACGGGGGGCAGCAAUUAGGAAUCUUGCGCAAUGGGGGCAACCCUGACGCAGCGACGUCGCGUGGAGGAUGAAGGCUCUCGGGUCGUAAACUCCUUUUGCAGGGGAAGAAGAAUGUGACGGUACCCUGCGAAUAAGCCCCGGCUAACUACGUGCCAGCAGCCGCGGUAAUACGUAGGGGGCGAGCGUUGUCCGAAGUUACUGGGCGUAAAGCGCGCGUAGGCGGUUCAUUAAGUCUGGGGUGAAAGGUUCAGCGCUCAACGCGAACAGUGCCUUGGAUACUGGUGAACUUGAGUUGGGGAGGGGGAAGUGGAAUUCCGGGUGUAGCGGUGAAAUGCGUAGAUAUCCGGAGGAACACCGAUGGCGAAGGCAGCUUCCUGGCCCACAACUGACGCUGAGGUGCGAAAGCGUGGGGAGCGAACGGGAUUAGAUACUCCGGUAGUCCACGCCGUAAACGAUGAGUGCCAGGUGUCGGGGGUAUCGACCCCCCCGGUGCCGUCGCUAACGCUUUAAGCACUCCGCCUGGGGAGUACGGCCGCAAGGUUGAAACUCAAAGGAAUUGACGGGGGCCCGCACAAGCGGUGGAGCAUGUGGAUUAAUUCGUCACUAACCGAAGAACCUUACCCAGGCUUGACAUCGAAGGAAAGCCGGUGAAAGCCGGCCCUCCCGCAAGGGGACCUGAAGACAGGUGUUGCAUGGCUGUCGUCAGCUCGUGUCGUGAGAUGUUGGGUUAAGUCCCGCAACGAGCGCAACCCUCACCGUAUGUUGCCAGCGUAGAGUCGGGCACUCUUACGGAACUGCCCGUGCAAGCGGGAGGAAAGUGGGGACGACGUCAAGUCGGCAUGGCCCUUACGCCUGGGGCUUCACACAUGCUACGAUGGCCGGUACAGAGGGCUGCGAUACCGCAAGGUGGAGCGAAUCCCACAAAGCCGGCCCCAGUUCGGAUCGCGGGCUGCAACUCGCCCGCGUGAAGCCGGAAUCGCUAGUAACCGCAGGUCAGCUAAACUGCGGUGAAUACGUUCCCGGGCCUUGUACACACCGCCCGUCAAGUCACCUGAAUUGUCUGCACCCGACGCCGGUGGCCCAACUCGUAAGAGGGGGAGCCGUCUAAGGUGUGGGGAGUAAGGGGGACU
rnacentral:rRNA from 1 species